GACGAACGCUGGCGGCGUGCUUAACACAUGCAAGUCGAACGGAAAGGCCCCUUUGGGGGUACUCGAGUGGCGAACGGGUGAGUAACACGUGAGUAACCUGCCCUUGACUUCGGGAUAACUUCAGGAAACUGGGGCUAAUACCGGAUAGGAAUCCUUGCUGCAUGGUGGGGGUUGGAAAGCUCCGGCGGUUUUGGAUGGACUCGCGGCUUAUCAGCUUGUUGGUGGGGUAGUGGCUUACCAAGGCUUUGACGGGUAGCCGGCCUGAGAGGGCGACCGGCCACAUUGGGACUGAGAGACGGCCCAGACUCCUACGGGAGGCAGAAGUGGGGAAUAUUGCACAAGGGGCGGAAGCCUGAUGCAGCAACGCCGCGUGCGGGAUGACGGCCUUCGGGUUGAAAACCGCUUUCAGCAGGGGCGAAGCUUGUGGUGACGGUACCUGCAGAAGAAGCACCGGCUAACUACGUG
rnacentral:rRNA from 1 species